AUUGAACGCUGGCGGCAUGCCUUACACAUGCAAGUCGAGCGGCAGCGCGGGGCAACCUGGCGGCGAGCGGCGAACGGGUGAGUAAUACAUCGGAACGUACCCAGUUGUGGGGGAUAGCCCGGCGAAAGCCGGAUUAAUACCGCAUACGACCUGAGGGUGAAAGGGGGGGGAUCGCAAGACCUCUCGCAGUUGGAGCGGCCGAUGGCGGAUUAGCUAGUUGGUGAGGUAAAGGCUCACCAAGGCGACGAUCCGUAGCUGGUCUGAGAGGAUGAUCCGCCACACUGGGACUGAGACACGGCCCAGACUCCUACGGGAGGCAGCAGUGGGGAAUUUUGGACAAUGGGCGAAAGCCUGAUCCAGCCAUGCCGCGUGAGUGAAGAAGGCCUU
rnacentral:rRNA from 1 species